ACUCCUACGGGAGGCAGCAGUGGGGAAUCUUGGACAAUGGGGGAAACCCUGAUCCAGCCAUGCCGCGUGAGCGAUGAAGGCCUUAGGGUUGUAAAGCUCUUUCAGGUGGGAAGAUAAUGACGGUACCACCAGAAGAAGCCCCGGCUAACUCCGUGCCAGCAGCCGCGGUAAUACGGAGGGGGCUAGCGUUGUUCGGAAUUACUGGGCGUAAAGCGCACGUAGGCGGAUUGGAAAGUUGGGGGUGAAAUCCCGGGGCUCAACCCCGGAACGGCCUCAAACAUCCCCAGUCUAGAGGUCGAGAGAGGUGAGUGGGAAUUCCGAGUGUAGAGGUGAAAAUUCGUAGAUAUUCGGAGGAACACCAGUGGCGAAGGCGGCUCACUGGCUCGAUACUGACGCUGAGGUGCGAAAGCGUGGGGAGC
rnacentral:rRNA from 1 species